UUUGAAUUUGUUUGGUGGAAACUGAGAGAGGUGGAGUUAUCAACUUGCUUUCAUUACACAACACUCCUGAUAAUCUUAGCGAAAUUGGUGUGGAGUACAUUGAGGUAGGAUUUAGCAUUUUGAUAUUUGGCUUAUUUGGUAAUACAACUACAAGACAAGGAAAGUCAGGCUUACAUCAGUGAAACUCGAUGUUCAAAGCAAUGUGCAACUCACACCAACAUCUGUACCCAAGGAAAACAAAAGGGCAUAUUCAGGGACUGCUACAAAGUAACAAAGGAAGAAGAUGCAAAAAACACUUUAAAGUUGUCUUUCAAUCUCUAAGAUUUUCUAUGCACAAGUUGGUUUUAAUGGAUUUGUGAUUUUGGUACUAAA